CCACCGGAGUCCGGACGCACCUAGAGAUGACUAACCACCCGCUUACCAUUACAUGUCUAUAAUUUUGGUUAGCCACCGGCAUAUUUUCUUUAAGUCUUUUGCAUAGACCCAUGUCUGUAAUGGUGAUUAGCCACCGGCACACUGGCCAUAAGUCUUUUGCAUAGAGCCAUAUCCAUUCUAGCAAACCCCAAAACCAAAAAAAAAGAGAAGUGGUUUCUGAGUUCUUCUCUUCGCCACAGCCGCCUGUUUUUCCCUCCGGAAACCUAACUACCCAAGAGGAGAAGAAAAAGAAGAAAUCAAAUUCAUCUCUAAAACUCAAACUCAGAAGAAGAAGAAGCAGACGAUAUCUAUAUGUCAUUUAGGUUUACUUGAAGUGAUGUCUAUUACACCUCCAAGCAAAGAUGGACGGAUGCACCUCGACAGUCGGCUCAAUUUUUGGAAGGAGUUGAAUCCUUUAUCAGGUUCGCGAAAGAUACUGGAGGGUAAGAUAGAUUGUACGCUGUCCAUGCUCGAAAUGUAAGCUCUUUUCAGCAAGAAAACUAUAUUCUCUAGAGGAAAUACAUCUGCAUUUGCAAAAAUCCGGUAUCCACAAGCCAUACACAAUUUGGAUACAUCACGGAGAACAGCCUCGUUCAGAUGUUGUCAAUGUUAAUCCAGCUCCUAAUUUACCUGGUAAUAAUGUUCAUUGUGAAGAUUCUGGUAGGAGAAUGGUUGACAUGUUCAGUGACCUACAGUGACCUAUUGACCUCGAUUAUAACAUGGAAGAGUGUUCCAAUGACCCUAAUCAAGAGAGUGAUGCUAAUGUUGAAGGUGAUCAAGGUGAUGAUAUAAAUUACAAGAAGAGGAUCGAAGGUUCGAUGCAACCACUAUAUCCUUCUUGUGAUGGGCAGCAUACGAAGUUGUCUGCAACAAUUGAGUUGCUAAGUAUGAAAGCAAGGCAUAAUUGUUCUGAUCGUUUAUUGACUGAGUUGUUGCAAUUGAAGAUGGUUCUACCUGCUGGGAAUACAUUACUGGCAACACUCCGAAAAUCGCCAAAUUUCAACUGAAGUGUUGAGUCUUGAUUAUGUAAUUGAAUUUUUAUGCACAUUGCGUCAAUUUGAAAGGAUGAAGUUCUAGUUUCUCCAAUUUUACUCGAACUCAUUCAAAUUUUGAAAUGAAGUGUCGAGUCUUGAUUAUGUAACUGACAUUGCGUCAAUUUGAAAGGAUGAAGUUCCAGUUUCUCCAA